CUAUUACAGUCAGAUACUGCUGCUGGGCCUGUUGCUGAUUUACAAAGAUCAGCUGUUCUGGGUUAAGCAAUAGCAUAUGGGAACUUGUCAGGAACUUCCUUGAAGUAAGCCCUAAACCCUCACAGAUCUGCAGAGCUGCCCAGCGUGGAAGAAGGCGAUUGCAGGACGUAAGAGCAGAUGGAUGCAGAGGGUUCAGCUGCCUGGCUGCGAUGCUCCUGGGUUCCACACGCAUUCUCAGCAGCCCCAGGAGACUCCUGCAGAAUACAGAGUGCAAACCAAGGCUACCCCAUUCUCAUGUAAACACCGUGGCUGCAAACAGUAGGGGAUAUGGCAUAGCAGUUACAGAGCCUUUCCUGAAACAGCUCCUGGAUGUUGGCUAAGGACAUGAAUCUUAUCCUUGCAUAACCUCUCAAGGAUUAUGCUGGGCCUUUACCAGUGUCCUCUGGCCAGCAGACAAAGACGUAUUCAAAAGCUGGACCUUCCCUUUGGUGCCAGCAGUUACUAGAAUAACUCCUUACAAAAGCAACUCUUCAGCAAAAUGUCAGAGUUGUAAAGACAUAUGCUCUUCUCACUGUACCUGAGAUGACUGCCUGCUUCUCAC